rnacentral:rRNA from 1 species
CCCCAUGUGCACCAUUGAACGGUUGAAGUGAGUAGCCGGGAGUUGGUACUCUUAGUUGAAAACUUCGGCUGUUAUUACAAACACCUUUCUUGUCUUGUGAAUGGUAAUGCUCUUGUGAGUGAUAAUGAAAAUACAACUUUCAACAACGGAUCUCUUGGCUCUCGCAUCGAUGAAGAACGCAGCGAAAUGCGAUAAGUAAUGUGAAUUGCAGAAUUCAGUGAAUCAUCGAAUCUUUGAACGCACCUUGCGCCCCUUGGUAUUCCGAGGGGCAUGCCUGUUUGAGUGUCAUGUUUACAUCAAAUCUCUUGUCUUUCUUCUUGAAGGACUCAAGGUAUGAAUUUGGAGGUUAUGCUGGCCUUCUCCAGUCGGCUCCUCUUAAAUGUAUUAGCUGGACUUUGGUUUGCGUUUAAGGUGUAAUAGUUCAUCCAUUCACCAGAGCGCUUGCCUGACGAGCCUGCUUCUAAUGGUCCGCAUUGUUCGGACAAGGCUUGUGCCUUUUUGACACCUCUGACCUCAAAUCAGGUAGGACUACCCGCUGAACUUAAGCAUAUCAA